rnacentral:Y_RNA from 1 species
GGCUGGUCCAAAAAUAGUGAGUUAUCUCAACUGAUCACAGUCAGUUACAGAUAGAACUCCUGUUCUACUCUUUUCCCCUUCUCACUACUGCACUUGAUCAGUCUAAA